ACGCUUCUUUUCUACCGAGUGCUUGCACUCAUUUGAAAGAGGAGUGGCGGACGGGUGAGUAACACGUGGGUAACCUGCCCAUCAGAGGGGGAUAACACUUGGAAACAGGUGCUAAUACCGCAUAAUAGUCGACACCGCAUGGUGUUGAUUUGAAAGACGCUUUCGGGUGUCACUGAUGGAUGGACCUGCGGUGCAUUAGCUAGUUGGUGAGGUAACGGCUCACCAAGGCGAUGAUGCAUAGCCGACCUGAGAGGGUGAUCGGCCACACUGGGACUGAGACACGGCCCAGACUCCUACGGGAGGCAGCAGUAGGGAAUCUUCGGCAAUGGACGAAAGUCUGACCGAGCAACGCCGCGUGAGUGAAGAAGGUUUUCGGAUCGUAAAACUCUGUUGUUAGAGAAGAACAAGUAGGAGAGUAACUGCUCUUACCUUGACGGUAUCUAACCAGAGAGCCACGGCUAACUACGUGCCAGCAGCCGCGGUGAUACGUAGGUGGCAAGCGUUGUCCGGAUUUAUUGGGCGUAAAGCGAGCGCAGGCGGUUUCUUAAGUCUGAUGUGAAAGCCCCCGGCUCAACCGGGGAGGGUCAUUGGAAACUGGGAGACUUGAGUGCAGAAGAGGAGAGUGGAAUUCCAUGUGUAGCGGUGAAAUGCGUAGAUAUAUGGAGGAACACCAGUGGCGAAGGCGACUCUCUGGUCUGUAACUGACGCUGAGCUCGAAAACGUGGGGAGCAACAGGAUUAGAUACCCUGGUAGUCCACGUCCGUAGACGAUGA
rnacentral:rRNA from 1 species